UACGGAGGGGGCGAGCGUUAUUCGGAAUUAUUGGGCGUAAAGGGCGCGUAGGCGGCUUGACAAGUCAAAGGUGAAAUCCCUCGGCUCAACUGAGGAACUGCCUUUGAAACUGUCUGGCUUGAGGCCGGGAGGGGGUAGCGGAAUUCCCAGUGUAGCGGUGAAAUGCGCAGAUAUCGGGAGGAACACCAGCGGCGAAGGCGGCACUCUGGGCUGGAACUGACGCUGAGGAGCGAAAGCGUGGGUAGCAAACAGG
rnacentral:rRNA from 1 species